ACGGACACUAGAUGGGAAUAAAGGAAAGAAAAAAAAAAAAAAAGAAAAACCAUGAAAUCCAACACAAACACCAGCAGCACCACACCUGACGCUUCAUCUGGUCGGACUUGUUUUAACGUGACAUUGAUAAUUUGUUUUGCCCUACAUGGUGAAAAUGCAUUUUGUGACUUUAUGAUUGGCUGCAUGCAAACAAAAGAGCGAGUAUAAAUAAAAGAGAAGGAAGCUCUCGGGACAAAUCGUUGCUUUUGGACAGAACUCACAGCAACGACCCAACGCUGCCUGAACCUCCAGACUGAGGAGCAGACUGUCAGGGUACACGCCCUUUACACUGAGUGAGCACAUCAGAGAAAUACACAGCAAAAACAACAGGAACUAUGGGUGACCAUGCAGCAGAAAAGGAAAAAAACAAACAUAAGAAACUCCAGGAAAUGAAGGCGAAUCCAGAAACUCUCCAUCAGUGCAGAGGAAACAAAACCAUGUUUUACACUCCCAAUCCAGAAGUGUGGGCGACGGUUAUAAGGGAAGCUUGUUCUGAUACAGAGGAGAAAACCAUCCAUGUUUUCAGCACCCCUGAAGGCACCAUAAAGGUGCAUCCUAAUGGAAAGUGUGUGAUAUGCUCAAAACAGCAGGGGGAGCAGUUUCAAAAGAAGUUCGAGGAAAUGAAGUCCAAAGUGGCAGAGAAACGGGGAAACAAAUAGACUAACAGCAGAUUUAAGCUAAAUGACGACUGGCAAACUGAUCAGUUAGAGCAGCAGUUUGCAUACAAACUGAAUAAGACAACAACAAUUGGUUCCAGCUACAAAUUUCACUUUCCACUCUUUACCGCCAUUUCAGUUCCCUGCAAUAAUCACUGUAUUAAUCACUGUAGAGAGAGAAUAAAUAUGGUUUAACAUGGUGUUUAAUGGUUAAAGUAAACUGGGAUAUCUAAUUAAUGAAAUGUCUGGUUUUUAUUUGAAAACACAUUUGUCACAUUCUGCACAUUUUUGGUGUUUAUUGUGAUUUUGUUAGAAUGGUAAAUCUUUGGAUUGUGCCUGAUGACCUCAGUCUAUCUGUAGGUUACAGAGGAAUAACACGGCAGUUUGGACUCACUGAGCAGGUGGUAGUUUGAGUCUCUCUCAUAUUUGAAGGUCAGUCUUCCAUAGCUGACAUGGUUGAGAUUCUUCAGCCACUCGAAAUAAGACACCGUCACACCACCAGCGUUCAGGUACAUGUCCUGGAAGAGAACACAUCAAAGUCAGACAUCAGCCGGUUUGGACAAGUCUUCAUAUUUUACUGUGUGGAAUUGUUUGAAUAAAUUAUCCUCUGUUCUGCAAAAA